rnacentral:lncRNA from 1 species
CGGGAGAGUUAAUGUUUAUAAGCCACUUUGAACUCCUUGUCUUGUUAGGUUGGGUAAUAAAUCAAUUGCUCGAAUCCCUAUUAAAUAAUAGUUAAUUAUUGUUUUCCUACUUCCCAGUCUUGUGGAUUAAUAUCCUCGUAAAAUUCCAAUCUAGGGGUCCCAUAAUUUAAUUUGUCUCAAUCAAUAUAGAGUUGGGAUAAGUAAUUGUCUCCAAGUUUUGCAAAAUAAUGGUGAAAUUCCAUUACAGUUAAUAUAAAUGUUCUCCUUGGAGAUAUCAUAAGGUUCCCUCAAUGUCUUCUCUUCCUGUAUUCUUUACAGUCUAUACUUUAAAUUCAAGAAAAGGUUUAAUUCCUCAGAUAAAGGCUGUCCCUGAGCACGUU